CAUGGCUCAGGAUGAACGCUAGCUACAGGCUUAACACAUGCAAGUCGAGGGGCAGCGCAGUGUAGCAAUACAUGGGCGGCGACCGGCGCACGGGUGCGUAACGCGGUAUCCAACCUUCCGUUACUCUUGGAUAGCCUUCCGAAAGGGAGAUUAAUACCAAGAUGGUAUUCAAAUUCCGCAUGUUAUUUGAAUUAAAGAUUAAUCGGUAACGGAUGGGGAUGCGUGACAUUAGAUAGUAGGCGGGGUAACGGCCCACCUAGUCUACGAUGUCUAGGGGUUCUGAGAGGAAGGUCCCCCACACUGGAACUGAGACACGGUCCAGACUCCUACGGGAGGCAGCAGUGAGGAAUAUUGGUCAAUGGUCUGACGACUGAACCAGCCAUGCCGCGUGAAGGUGACGGCCCUAUGGGUCUUAAACUUCUUUUGCAAGGGAGCAAUAAGGCGCACGUGUGCGUCGAUGAGAGUACCUUGCGAAUAAGCAUCGGCUAACUCCGUG
rnacentral:rRNA from 1 species